UACGUAGGUGGCAAGCGUUGUCCGGAUUUACUGGGCGUAAAGCGCGCGCAGGCGGCCUGUUAAGUCUGCUGUAAAAUCUCCCGGCUUAACCGGGAGGGGCCAGCGGAUACUGGCAGGCUUGAGGCAAGCAGAGGAAGGUGGAAUUCCCGGUGUAGUGGUGAAAUGCGUAGAUAUCGGGAGGAACACCAGUGGCGAAGGCGGCCUUCUGGGCUUGUCCUGACGCUGAGGCGCGAAAGCGUGGGGAGCGAACCGGAUUAGAUACCCGGGUAGUCCACGCCGUAAACGAUGGGUACUAGAUGUGGGGGGUAUCGACCCCCUCCGUGUCGAAGCUAACGCGUUAAGUACCCCGCCUGGGGACUACGGCCGCAAGGCUAAA
rnacentral:rRNA from 1 species